GUAUUUCCUUCGGGAUUUACAUUUGCAAAACUGGAUAAAAAUACAGAGAAGAUUAGCAUGGCCCCUGCGCAAGGAUGACACUCAACAAAUCGUGAAAAGUCACAUGUUUUU
rnacentral:snRNA from 1 species